GGGAGGAGGCAGAGGAGCAGGCAUAACUGCUUGUGGCAGCCAGCCGUGCACAGCGAUGUUGCUGUUUGGUAUGUUCGAUGUUGGCUCUUCCGGUCCUUGAGCUGCAUACGUCUAAA
rnacentral:rRNA from 1 species